CAGCCGCCACGGGAAUACAGAGGGUGCGAGCGUUAAUCGGAUUUACUGGGCGUAAAGCGUGCGUAGGCGGCUUCUUAAGUCGGAUGUGAAAUCCCUGAGCUUAACUUAGGAAUUGCAUUCGAUACUGGGAAGCUAGAGUAUGGGAGAGGAUGGUAGAAUUCCAGGUGUAGCGGUGAAAUGCGUAGAGAUCUGGAGGAAUACCGAUGGCGAAGGCAGCCAUCUGGCCUAAUACUGACGCUGAGGUACGAAAGCAUGGGGAGCAAACAGGAUUAGAUACCCCUGUAGUCCCUGUCUCUUAUAU
rnacentral:rRNA from 1 species